rnacentral:lncRNA from 1 species
AAAAAGAUGGCUUGUUACAGAAUGAAAGUGGAAUUUUUUUUGUCUUACCAAUUUUUGCCAUUCUUUACACUAAUUCAAUUAGGUAAAUUAAUAUAUUUCUUAUACAUUAUACUUAACUCCAUCAAUUAACAUAUGAUUAAGUUUCAAUUUCUAAAUUAACACACCUCGUAUAUGUAUAUCUAAGAAGGCAAUAGAGGAUAAAACAUACAUAAAUUAGCUAUAAAGGAUCCGGGUCGGGUCACAAGUAUAUACCCGUCUCCCCUUGGAUUGUGAAUUCAUCUCUCUCGCACUCUUUUUUGAAAAUAUUUGUAACCGCGCAUUCAAUCAGUUACCUCUCUCUCUCUCUAAGUUGUUGAUAAUGGAUAUGGCUGUGACCAUCGAAGCCAAUCCAUUCACCGUGAUCAUCGACCCCUUCGACACUGUGCCGGAAAUCAAAAUGA